rnacentral:rRNA from 1 species
UACGGAGGGGGCUAGCGUUGCUCGGAAUUACUGGGCGUAAAGGGCGCGUAGGCGGGAUGGCAAGUCGGUCGUGAAAUCCCUCGGCUCAACUGAGGAUCGUCGAUCGAUACUGCCGUUCUUGAGGAUUGCAGAGGAGACUGGAAUUCCCGGUGUAGCGGUGAAAUGUGUAGAGAUCGGGAGGAACACCGGUGGCGAAGGCGGGUCUCUGGGCAAUUCCUGACGCUGAGGCGCGAAAGCGUGGGGAGCAAACGGG